AUUGUAGUCCUUGUAGUCGAUAUUCUAUUCCUAGUGUCAGUCUAGC
rnacentral:rRNA from 1 species